GUUGAACGCUGGCGGCAUGCCUUACACAUGCAAGUCGAACGGCAGCACGGGUGCUUGCUCCUGGUGGCGAGUGGCGAACGUGAGAGUAAUACAUCGGGACAUGUCCUGUAGUGGGGGAUAGCCCGGCGAAAGCCGGAUUAAUACCGCAUACGAUCUACGGAUGACAGCGGGGGACCUUCGGGCCGCGCGCUCUAGGGUUGGGCGAUGGCUGAUUAGCUAGUUGGUGGGGUAGAGGCCUACCAAGGCGACGAUCAGUAGCUGGUCUGAGAGGACGACCAGCCACACUGGGACUGAGACACGGCCCAGACUCCUACGGGAGGCAGCAGUGGGGAAUUUUGGACAAUGGGCGAAAGCCUGAUCCAGCAAUGCCGCGUGUGUGAAGAAGGCCUUCGGGUUGUAAAGCACUUUUGUCCGGAAAGAAAUCCUUGGCUCUAAUACAGUCGGGGGAUGACGGUACCGGAAGAAUAAGCACCGGCUAACUACGUG
rnacentral:rRNA from 1 species